rnacentral:rRNA from 1 species
ACGGGUGAGUAACACGUGGGCAACCUGCCCUUGAGACUGGGAUAACUUCGGGAAACCGGAGCUAAUACCGGAUAAUAUAAGGAACCUCCUGGUUCCUUGUUGAAAGAUGGUUUCGGCUAUCACUUAAGGAUGGGCCCGCGGCGCAUUAGCUAGUUGGUGAGGUAACGGCUCACCAAGGCGACGAUGCGUAGCCGACCUGAGAGGGUGAUCGGCCACACUGGGACUGAGACACGGCCCAGACUCCUACGGGAGGCAGUAGUAGGGAAUCUUCCACAAUGGACGAAAGUCUGAUGGAGCAACGCCGCGUGAGUGAUGAAGGCCUUCGGGUCGUAAAGCUCUGUUGUUAGGGAAGAACAAGUGCGAGAGUAACUGCUCGUACCUUGACGGUACCUAACCAGAAAGCCACGGCUAACUACGUGCCAGCAGCCGCGGUAAUACGUAGGUGGCAAGCGUUAUCCGGAAUUAUUGGGCGUAAAGCGCGCGCAGGUGGUUUCUUAAGUCUGAUGUGAAAGCCCAUGGCUCAACCGUGGAGGGUCAUUGGAAACUGGGGAACUUGAGUGCAGAAGAGGAAAGUGGAAUUCCA